CUCCUGCCCAAUCUCAAUCUCCAUCCGCCGCCGCCACGCCUUACCUCUCCUCGGCCCUGUCCUCCGCCUCCACCUCCCCGCCUCCAAGCGAUGACGACGGCCCGAGAUCCAUGGUGACGGCGGCUGCAGUGGCCCGAUGGAAGCGGCGGCCAUCCCUAGCCGUUGCCGCGUGCUUCUGCUACUCACGUUGGCCAUGGAUCUGCAGCAGGGGCCUCCCUCCUCCGUUUCCCAGAGCCCGCAGCUAAUUCGCCAUCCGGAGAUUCGGAGCAGCAAGCGCCGGACGAGGACCGUAACCUGCUGGAGGCCCGAGCGCGACCUCGUCAACGGCGACGACGCCCCGCACAAGAUCAGUAGGAGCUCUCUGCCUCUCCAAUUCCAUGGACGGCGACGACCGGGACCCCACGCUCAAACCCGACGAGCUUGAACGGCGAGGUCAUCCGAGCCGACCAUCAUGAUUCCCCACAGAACAAUAAGGUUGACUCUCUCGUUCUGUUUUUCUUUUCUUCCAAUUGCCAGCUGCUCUUCUCUAGCAUAGUUCUCCAGGGGCUCACCAAUUUUCUUGGACUGAACCUGAUGCAGAAAAUGUGUUCACUUCGUUUCCUGAUACUCGCAAGCUACAGCCAAGUUACAGCCACCGACAGACUAGCACUGCUAGAUAUUUCCUUUUUCUUCUCUCACCGUGCGAGCAUUAGCAGUGUAGAAUUUGUGUUAAAUAACUACUAGUUAGACAAGCUGUGUGGUGGUUCACGUUUAGUUCCUAAUUAGGCCAUGCCAGUAAUGAAUAAAGCAUAUUAGUGUUCUUCUCCUUUCUAUUGUUAUUAGUCUGGUAUAUCUCUAUAUUUUUAUAUUGUCUUUACUCCCUGGCGUAGUUGCAAACUAAUAAUUAACGAUGUGCAGAACUUGUCUAAAUUAGAUGUACUCAGUGGCGGAGCUACAACAAAUAAGUUGGGCGGGCCAAUUUUUUUCCUCUAAACCAUACAGUUAAGUAGGCAUGAGUUAGUGAAAUUUCAGGUUGCCUGUAUAGGGAAACUGGUAACAGGAUGAUGUUGUCAAGUAAAAUUUGGACAAAUAAAUGAAAUUUCUUGUGCGCUAGCUGCCUGCUGGUUCUAUGGUCUUGUGCUCGUCGCCUGGGUAGUUCAUCAGUGGCUAGCCGCUGGCAGCCGCCAUAUGGCCAUGCCCGUCGUGGCAUAGGGAUGGGUCACCGUAGGGGUUGCUACAUGCGGCGCCCGUCUGCCUGGCUAUUGGACCGCUCCAUCUCUGAGUGGCUUGCUCAGUGCUGAAUCGGGGCAGAGAGCUCAUAGCUGGAUGCGAGGGAGACAUGCUAUUGGAUUAAGCUGUUACAUGUACAAAAGAGUUUUAUUUGUCUCUGGAGCUGGGUGGGCCAUGGCCUUGUUUUGCCCUCACGAAGCUCCGCCAGUGGAUCUACUCAUCUUUGUUGUUGUUAGGAUCAAAUAUCAAUGCUAGUUGAGUCAUACUACCUCCAUCUUGAAAUAUAAGUCAUUUUUAUAGGCUAAACUAGCCUACAAAAAUGUCUUAUAUUUUGAGACGGAGUUAGUACUUGUUAGUUCUGACCAUGCCUAGCUUAAGGACUCAUUGGUAUUCUUGAUAAGAAAAUCCUGCAUAUGUUCGUACAUGUUCCUAUCUGAAUUAAUAUUGGAUGUUUCUUGGUGUGUGCAUGUGACAGUCAAGGCACAUUUUCACAAUAUAUGUUGGUAUAUGGUGUUGUGAAACUUCUAUGAUUGAACAUACCACGGCAAGAUUUAGAAGUAACUUUCUUCCAUCUACAAAAGUUGAGAGGCAGAGGGAGAGGCACACAGUUUUACCAUUGAAUAAGCUACUCCCUGAGCUAGAGGGAGGGGCACAAGAUUUACCACUGAAUAAGCUGUUCCAUUCUACAUGAUUGAGGCUCUAAAAUGAAAUAAUAAAAUGGUGUAACAAUCUGUAGCUUUAGAGAUUUAGAGGCACACAUAGAUAAUGAAAUAGUGUAACAAUCUGCAGGUUUGAAAAGUUUAGUGUUCUUAUUUGAUCUUGGUUUGCAGCAAAUAAUAAUAUUGGUGUUGUCAUUGCACUUUGGGCUCCAAUGAAAUUCUUGUAUGUGUCAAUUCUCUGUCAAAAGUUGUUUUAACAGUGUGCUAAGUUUUGUCGGAUGCGUUGACUAGGUCUGUCUCAUGGACACCCAAAUUUUGUAUGCAAUUUUCUCAACACCCAGAUUGGAGCCUAAGGUUGGACAUUUUGAUGGGACUGCGGAUCUUCGGAUGUUGGUGCUGAGAUUGAUGUGGCCCUAGCUACAUGUAAGCGAAGCUUAUGAUGUCGAUCCUCCAGGCUGCACUGCCAUCGUUUUACCUCAGAAACUGUUGGUAUGAUUGCGUACCGGGCUACUUGGUGCUGCCCAUCACAAUUUGCACUGACAUGGUAACUUCCAUCAAGAGGGCCGACUGCAAGAACUUGAAUAGCAACUUCAAUAGUUUAAAUGUUCUGUUUGUGUGAACUGGAUUGUACUGUUUUUUAACUUUCCCAAGUAAUAUAUGUUGUAAACUAUCAUUUCAUGGAGGAUUUUGUAAGCUGCUAUGUUGUAGAUACUUGUGGGUGACUGCAUUUUGAUUCAUAUGUGCAUGUGAGACAGUUUUGAAAUAAUGUCUGCCAAAGUUGGCAUUAA